UCUGGCAUAACCAACUGACCAUCCAAUACUGCCCAGACAAUCCCGUCACCCAAAAAUGAAUGCACCGACACGUCACCAAAACCAACGCAACUGACAAACCAGAUGCAAAUGGUGCCGAGUAUGGUCCUGCACACACGGCAAGUGCGUGUACACCACAGCUACGCUUGUUAGCCAGUUUCUUGGAAGUGAAAGCACAGGGAGAAUUAAGGCACAAAUUGUCGUAUCUGUUCCAAGGGCAGAGUGUGUCGGUCUUAUUUACUCUGUGAGGAGCGCUGGCAUUCAUGGGACGCCAACAGCUGGAUCUGAGCAUUUCCUUUAAUUGAACAGAAGAGCUACAAAAGUCUCUCUGGAGAACCUGCCUGCUCAUAGCUGCUUUGGGCUGUUUAAGGUAUGCUUUUUCUAGAAAAGAGUAAUGUUAAUUUUCAGAGUACUACAAAUUAUAAUAAGAGAAAUAAAAAAUGAAAUAAUUUUUUUUUUAAAGACUAGGGAUUUCUUCUUCCAUUCUCCAUUGCAGAAUAUUCUUUAUGUCCUUCAUCAGUCUUGUACUUGGUUACAGAUGGAAAAUAUUAGCUCUGGUUUACAAAACAUGGCCCCGUUUCCUGUAACACGGCACAGGUUGGACAAAUCUGUCAUUUGAGUAGUGUGUCUAUUCUGUGGCCAAUUCUGUAAUCUACGAGCAAUGUGAUCCUAAACAAGGAAUCUCAUGUUAGCAGCCAAGAUUGGAAAAUCCCUGUUUAGUGCGAUUGCUGCCAAAACCAUCUCACUUGCUAAGGACAAACUAAUUUUCAAUCUGCAGUUUGGGAGCACUUGCUUUUCCUUUUUAGCUCUUUUUUUCAAAAUAAAUAAAAAAAUAUCUCACUUUCUAAGAUGACACAAAUAUACACUUGAUUUUAAAAAGUGCA